rnacentral:lncRNA from 1 species
GGGGGAGGAAGGAAAGAGCAGAGGGAGAGGGAGAGAGAGGACAAGCAGACUCCCUGCUGAGCAGAGAGCUUAACAUGGGACUCCAUUCCAGGACUCUAGAUCAUGACUUAAGUGGAAGUCAAAUCCUUAAACAACUGAGCCAUCCAGGCACCCCCCCAUUGUUCCAUAAUUAAGAUAAUGUAUUAAAUUCAAAGUGAUUAUUACCUUUUACUUAGUAAUGGGAUGCUUAUUUUAGCAUUCUUUGUAAUAGUAAGAUAGAGAGUUGUCCAAGUAUAGUAUUUUUUGCCAUAUUCUCCACCAGUUAAAAAUAAUAAAAACUUUUUGAACUUUGCACAGAAAGAAUUCCAAAAGAAAUAGUUGAAUGAAAACUACAAGGAGCAGAAUGAUGAAACACAAAGCCACAAAAGUGAUUAAGCUGUGAGGAAAAACUGGUUCAAGAUAUUUUGAGUCACAUUGGGUAUAGACCUGCUGCCUAGUCAUCUGAUUCAAGAAGUUUUUGUACAACAUUAUGCAAGCAUUUUUGUCCCAUCAACACAAUCUUCACUUGCAUAUCACGUCCAGGAUUACUUUCUUCUAACCACCAGGAUCACACCAUCAAGAUGGAGAUAAUCCUGUAACAGAAAACUCAACCUUGAACGCACCCAGCACAGCAGUACUCCCACUUUCUGUGCUUAAGAGUUAUACCUCUACUAUUAUUAUUACUUUUACAACUACAUUUUUUAAACUGAAAAGUUACAUGAGUUAUGUUAAGCACUUAAAAUGCCUUAACCCCUAAAACAAAAAAAAAAAAAAAAAGAGAGAUGUGAGAUAUACUGAUUUUCUUUAUAAGAGAUUAAUAGAAAAAAAU